UACAGAGGGUGCAAGCGUUAAUCGGAAUUACUGGGCGUAAAGCGCGCGUAGGUGGUUUGUUAAGUUGAAUGUGAAAUCCCCGGGCUCAACCUGGGAACUGCAUGCAAAACUGGCAAGCUAGAGUAUGGUAGAGGGUGGUGGAAUUUCCUGUGUAGCGGUGAAAUGCGUAGAUAUAGGAAGGAACACCAGUGGCGAAGGCGACCACCUGGACUGAUACAUGACCACUGGAGGUGCGAAAGCGUGGGGAGCAAACAGG
rnacentral:rRNA from 1 species